rnacentral:tRNA from 1 species
CGGAUGUAGCCAAGUGGAUCAAGGCAGUGGAUUAUGAAUCC